rnacentral:rRNA from 1 species
CAGGCCUAACACAUGCAAGUCGAGGGGCAGCGCGGGAGAAGCUUGCUUUUCCUGGCGGCGACCGGCGCACGGGUGCGUAACAGGUGUGCAAUCUGUCCAUAGUCGGGGAAUAGCCCAGCGAAAGUUGGAUUAAUGCUCCAUGUGAAUCGAAGCCGCAUGACUUUGAUUUGAAACGUAAGGACUAUGGGUGAGCACGCUUCUGAUUAGAUAGUUGGUGAGGUAACGGCUCACCAAGUCGACGAUCAGUAGGGGUUCUGAGAGGAAGGUCCCCCACAUUGGAACUGAGACACGGUCCAAACUCCUACGGGAGGCAGCAGUGAGGAAUAUUGGUCAAUGGGCGAGAGCCUGAACCAGCCAAGUCGCGUGAAGGAUGAAGGUUCUAUGGAUUGUAAACUUCUUUUGUCCGAGGGUAAAAAAGGCUACGUGUAGCUUCUUGCAAGUAUCGGACGAAUAAGCAUCGGCUAACUCCGUGCCAGCAGCCGCGGUAAUACGGAGGAUGCGAGCGUUAUCCGGAUUUAUUGGGUUUAAAGGGUGCGUAGGUGGUUUGUUAAGUUUGUGGUGAAAGCGUGCGGCUCAACCGUACCAAGCCAUGAAAACUGGCGAACUUGAGUGCAAACGAGGUAGGCGGAAUGUGAUGUGUAGCGGUGAAAUGCUUAGAUAUGUCACAGAACCCCGAUUGCGAAGGCAGCUUACCAGCAUGCAACUGACACUGAGGCACGAAAGCGUGGGUAUCAAACAGGAUUAGAUACCCUGGUAGUCCACGCAGUAAACGAUGAAUACUAGCUGUUGGCGAUAUAUGGUCAGCGGUACAGCGAAAGUGUUAAGUAUUCCACCUGGGGAGUACGCCGGCAACGGUGAAACUCAAAGGAAUUGACGGGGGCCCGCACAAGCGGAGGAACAUGUGGUUUAAUUCGAUGAUACGCGAGGAACCUUACCCGGGCUUGAAAGUUAGUAAUUAAUGUUGCAGAAAUGCGACUGGGUCAGCAAUGACAACGAAACUAGGUGCUGCAUGGCUGUCGUCAGCUCGUGCCGUGAGGUGUCGGCUUAAGUGCCAUAACGAGCGCAACCCUUGCCGUUAGUUGCCAGCGGGUAAUGCCGGGAACUCUAGCGGGACUGCUACUGUAAGGUAGAGGAAGGUGGGGAUGACGUCAAAUCAGCACGGCCCUUACGUCCGGGGCGACACACGUGUUACAAUGGUGAGUACAGAGGGUUGCUACCCCGCGAGGGGAUGCUAAUCUCAUAAAACUCAUCUCAGUUCGGAUCGGAGUCUGCAACUCGACUCCGUGAAGCUGGAUUCGCUAGUAAUCGCGCAUCAGCCAUGGCGCGGUGAAUACGUUCCC